GUGGGGAAUAUUGGACAAUGGGGGGAACCCUGAUCCAGCCAUGCCGCGUGUGUGAAGAAGGCCUUUUGGUUGUAAAGCACUUUAAGCGAGGAGGAGGCUACCGAGAUUAAUACUCUUGGAUAGUGGACGUUACUCGCAGAAUAAGCACCGGCUAACUCUGUGCCAGCAGCCGCGGUAAUACAGAGGGUGUAAGCGUUAAUCGGAUUUACUGGGCGUAAAGCGCGCGUAGGUGGCCAAUUAAGUCAAAUGUGAAAUCCCCGAGCUUAACUUGGGAAUUGCAUUCGAUACUGGUUGGCUAGAGUAUGGGAGAGGAUGGUAGAAUUCCAGGUGUAGCGGUGAAAUGCGUAGAGAUCUGGAGGAAUACCGAUGGCGAAGGCAGCCAUCUGGCCUAAUACUGACACUGAGGUGCGAAAGCAUGGGGAGCAAACAGGAUUAGAAACCCCGGUAGUCC
rnacentral:rRNA from 1 species